UUCUGUGAAAUAUUACAUUGUGAUUGCUGGGUGUUAAUGCUUGGCUAAGCAUUAGGUUUCCUGUGGUUCAAUAUAAUGGAUUAUAGAAUGACUGAGUGUUGGAAUGAAUUUGAUGAUGCUGACAACUUUUCUUAUUGUAUGAACAUUGAUAGUCCAAGUGGGAGAUUGUAAGACUUAAUGUGGACUCUCAAUAUUCUUUAAGUGUUACAAUAACUAAGCUGCAUAUUUGUAGAACAAGCAAAUAGACAUUCCUAGUGUUCAUCGGUUCAUGUUGAGUUUCCUAUUGAUAUCAGUAUUGUUUUAAGAGGUUAUCUUGCUAAUGAGGUAUACCUAAUUGUAUAUGGAACUGAAAACAGGUUGGCCUAAAUGUAAAAGGAUUAGGAAACCUUUAUGGGACGCACCUAAUAUUUAAGCCUAUAUAUAUUGACCUU
rnacentral:lncRNA from 1 species